rnacentral:rRNA from 1 species
UACGAAGGGGACUAGCGUUGUUCGGAAUCACUGGGCGUAAAGCGCGCGUAGGCGGCCGCGCAAGUCGGAUGUGAAAACCCGGGGCUCAACCCCGGGCGUGCAUUCGAUACUGCGCGGCUCGAGACAGGUAGGGGAGAUCGGAAUUCCUGGUGUAGCGGUGAAAUGCGCAGAUAUCAGGAGGAACACCGGUGGCGAAGGCGGAUCUCUGGGCCUGUUCUGACGCUGAGGCGCGAAAGCUAGGGGAGCGAACAGG